rnacentral:lncRNA from 13 species
AACCCAGAGACACCUGCGCUCCUCCCCAGCUGGGAUUUUUCUCACCAGACUGAGCUUGAGCCUUUUGCAGAGCUUCAUCUGGGAUGUGAGUGUCAAGAAAGCCACUGUGUUCAGGUUGUCCUUGAGAAUUUGCUUCUAUACUCCGGCAAGGCCUGGGAACAGAGCCUCCCUAGAAACGAGAAGUGGAGAUCUUUGGAGAAAAACUAACUUCAUGGAUGGAGUUUCACUCUGUUAUCCAGGCUUGAGUGAAGUGGUGUAAUCUCAACUCACUGCAACCUCCACCUCCCAGGUUCAAGCGAUUUUCAUGCCUCAGCCUCCCAAGUAGCUAGGAUUAUAGGUUAGUGCCUCUAAGCAUUGACCCAGCUUUUGGUCUUUAUGAUAAUGAAGACGUCUGACCUCUGGUGGCCAUGACAUUGUUGAAGAGGACUUCAAGAGACCAGAGAGCUCUGUCGGUCAGGGAAGCAGAUGUCACAAACUCGCGUGAUUUCGCAAGGGUUUAUUUACAGAGUGACUCCUCGUGGAAGUGUGGGCAUACGGGAGGCAUAAGAGAUGGUGCAGUAUCCCAGGGCACAUAUCAACAGAGCUGCUGUCAUCCCUGGGCCUGGAGCUUCAGGGAAGGAAGCAGCUACCAAACCUGGAAGGAGAGUCACAUAGAGGAGGCUGCCUUGAGAGAAGAUGUCGUCUUCCACUGGGGGAUGCUGUCAGCCUGAGGUAACCUGUUGCAGAGGAGUCAGUUUCUGUCUCAGGGAGCGAAUGGAGGAUAAACGGCUGUCAGCACUGUGCCAGCAUUCCCCAAACCCCGUAAGAUGUGGUUUUGCAAAGUUUCUUGGAAGCCAGGUCAGUACAAAUCUAUU